rnacentral:rRNA from 1 species
GAUGAACGCUGGCGGCGUGCCUAAUACAUGCAAGUCGAGCGAACGGACGAGAAGCUUGCUUCUCUGAUGUUAGCGGCGGACGGGUGAGUAACACGUGGAUAACCUACCUAUAAGACUGGGAUAACUUCGGGAAACCGUAGCUAAUACCGGAUAAUAUUUUGAACCGCAUGGUUCAAAAGUGAAAGACGGUCUUGCCGUCACUUAUAGAUGGAUCCGCGCUGCAUUAGCUAGUUGGUAAGGUAACGGCUUACCAAGGCAACGAUGCAUAGCCGACCUGAGAGGGUGAUCGGCCACACUGGAACUGAGACACGGCCCAGACUCCUACGGGAGGCAGCAGUAGGGAAUCUUCCGCAAUGGGCGAAAGCCUGACGGAGCAACGCCGCGUGAGUGAUGAAGGUCUUCGGAUCGUAAAACUCUGUUAUUAGGGAAGAACAUAUGUGUAAGUAACUGUGCACAUCUUGACGGUACCUAAUCAGAAAGCCACGGCUAACUACGUG